rnacentral:rRNA from 1 species
GCCGGGCGACGGUUGUCCCGGUUUAAGCGUGUAGGUGUGUGUUCCAGGCAAAUCCGGUUCACUUUACACUGAGGCGUGACGACGAGGCACUACGGUGCUGAAGUGAUAAAUGCCCUGCUUCCAGGAAAAGCCUCUAAGCAUCAGGUAACACAAAAUCGUACCCCAAACCGACACAGGUGGUCAGGUAGAGAAUACCAAGGCGCUUGAGAGAACUCGGGUGAAGGAACUAGGCAAAAUGGUGCCGUAACUUCGGGAGAAGGCACGCUGGCGCGUAGGUGGAGGGACUUGCUCCCCGAGCCGAAGCCAGUCGAAGAUACCAGCUGGCUGCAACUGUUUAUUAAAAACACAGCACUGUGCAAACACGAAAGUGGACGUAUACGGUGUGACGCCUGCCCGGUGCCGGAAGGUUAAUUGAUGGGGUUAUCCGUAAGGAGAAGCUCUUGAUCGAAGCCCCGGUAAACGGCGGCCGUAACUAUAACGGUCCUAAGGUAGCGAAAUUCCUUGUCGGGUAAGUUCCGACCUGCACGAAUGGCGUAAUGAUGGCCAGGCUGUCUCCACCCGAGACUCAGUGAAAUUGAACUCGCUGUGAAGAUGCAGUGUACCCGCGGCAAGACGGAAAGACCCCGUGAACCUUUACUACAGCUUGACACUGAACAUUGAGCCUUGAUGUGUAGGAUAGGUGGGAGGCUUUGAAGCGCAGACGCCAGUCUGCGUGGAGCCAACCUUGAAAUACCACCCUUUAAUGUUUGAUGUUCUAACGUGGCCCCGUUAUCCGGGGUGCGGACAGUGUCUGGUGGGUAGUUUGACUGGGGCGGUCUCCUCCUAAAGCGUAACGGAGGAGCACGAAGGUCAGCUAAUCACGGUCGGACAUCGUGAGGUUAGUGCAAUGGCAUAAGCUGGCUUGACUGCGAGAGUGACGGCUCGAGCAGGUGCGAAAGCAGGUCAUAGUGAUCCGGUGGUUCUGAAUGGAAGGGCCAUCGCUCAACGGAUAAAAGGUACUCCGGGGAUAACAGGCUGAUACCGCCCAAGAGUUCAUAUCGACGGCGGUGUUUGGCACCUCGAUGUCGGCUCAUCACAUCCUGGGGCUGAAGUAGGUCCCAAGGGUACGGCUGUUCGCCGUUUAAAGUGGUACGCGAGCUGGGUUUAGAACGUCGUGAGACAGUUCGGUCCCUAUCUGCCGUGGGCGCUGGAGAAUUGAGGGGGGUUGCUCCUAGUACGAGAGGACCGGAGUGAACGCACCACUGGUGUUCGGGUUGUCAUGCCAAUGGCAUUGCCCGGUAGCUAAGUGCGGAAAAGAUAAGUGCUGAAAGCAUCUAAGCACGAAACUUGCCCCGAGAUGAGUUCUCCCUGAC